GAUGAACGCUGACAGAAGGCUUAACACAUCAGCAAUGGAUUGGUGGCGGACGGGUGAGUAACGCGUAUAGAACUGGCCUCACAGCUAGGGACAACAUUUAGAAAUGAAUGCUAAUACCUGACACUGUGAGAGAGCUUUGCGUCCCAUUCGGUCGUUGGAGAGGUAAAAGCUCACAAAGGCGAUGAUGGGUAGCCGGCCUGAGAGGGUGAACGGCCACAAGGGGACUGAGAAACGGCCCUUACUCCAACGGGGGGCAGCAGUGGGGAAUAUUUGACAAUGGGCCGAAGUCUGAUCCAGCAAUUCUGUGUGCACGAUGAAUUUUUCGGAAUGUAAAGUGCUUUCAUUUGGGAAGCGUUACCAACAGAAGAAGUGACGGCUAAAUACGUGCCAGCCGCCGCGGUAAUAC
rnacentral:rRNA from 1 species